rnacentral:rRNA from 1 species
UAGGCUGAAACUCGCCUACAUGAAGCUGGAAUUGCUAGUAAUCACAGGUCAGCAUACUGUGGUGAAAUACGUUCCCGGGCCUUGUACACACCGCCCGUCACACCAUGAGAGUUGAGAAUACCCGAAGCCCAUGUCAAAGUGGUCGAAGGUAGGCUUGAUGAUUGGGGUGAAGUCGUAACAAGGUAAC